GCCUCGGUGGCGCAGUGGUUAGCGCGUAGGUCUCAUAAUCCUAAGGUCGUGGGUUCGACCCCCACUCGAGGCA
rnacentral:tRNA from 1 species